GUGGGGAAUUUUGGACAAUGGGCGAAAGCCUGAUCCAGCAAUGCCGCGUGCAGGAUGAAGGCCUUCGGGUUGUAAACUGCUUUUGUACGGAACGAAAAAGCUUCUCCUAAUACGAGAGGCCCAUGACGGUACCGUAAGAAUAAGCACCGGCUAACUACGUGCCAGCAGCCGCGGUAAUACGUAGGGUGCGAGCGUUAAUCGGAAUUACUGGGCGUAAAGCGUGCGCAGGCGGUUAUGUAAGACAGAUGUGAAAUCCCCGGGCUCAACCUGGGAACUGCAUUUGUGACUGCAUGGCUAGAGUACGGUAGAGGGGGAUGGAAUUCCGCGUGUAGCAGUGAAAUGCGUAGAUAUGCGGAGGAACACCGAUGGCGAAGGCAAUCCCCUGGACCUGUACUGACGCUCAUGCACGAAAGCGUGGGGAGCAAACAGGAUUAGAAACCCCGGUAGUCC
rnacentral:rRNA from 1 species